rnacentral:tRNA from 1 species
GGUCCCAUCGUCCAGUGGUCUAGGACACCGCCCUUUCAAGGCGGCGACACGAGUUCGAACCUCGUUGGGACCGCCA